UACGUAGGGUGCAAGCGUUAUCCGGAAUUAUUGGGCGUAAAGAGCUCGUAGGCGGUCUGUCGCGUCUGCUGUGAAAGACCGGGGCUCAACUCCGGUUCUGCAGUGGGUACGGGCAGACUAGAGUGCAGUAGGGGAGACUGGAAUUCCUGGUGUAGCGGUGAAAUGCGCAGAUAUCAGGAGGAACACCGAUGGCGAAGGCAGGGUCUCUGGGCAUCUACUGACGCUGAGGAGCGAAAGCAUGGGGAGCGAACAGG
rnacentral:rRNA from 1 species